GUCUUCAGCACAGAUUGGAGGCUACAGAGAGUUCCUAUCAGAAAGUGGUGAGACGGGCUGGGGCUAGCUGGUUAGCGUGUUAACAAAAGUUAGCAUGGAUGUUGCUGUCCACCUCUGGACACAGCUGUUGGUGAAGGAAAGGAAUGAAGUUUGUAUGUUGUACUCACAACAUUUAUUCUAGACUGAAAGUUCACCUCCACACCUCCGCUGCUGCUUCAGCAUCAACUUCUCACUCACCCCGGACACCACCAUGCUGAAUCAGUCCAGACACGCAAGUAGCAUAUACCUUCUCUUCUGCAAACCGGAUUUUUAACAGUGUGAACGCAUCCUGUUUAAGCGCCCAAUGACGAGCCCAU